ACUUAAUUAGUUUAAGAGAAAAUAUUAAAUUGUGGUUUUAAAGUUGAUGUUCAUUAAGUA
rnacentral:tRNA from 1 species